rnacentral:rRNA from 1 species
GACGAACGCUGGCGGCGUGCUUAACACAUGCAAGUCGAACGGAGAAGGAGAGCUUGCUCUCCGGAUCAGUGGCGAACGGGUGAGUAACACGUGAGCAAUCUGCCCCUGACUCUGGGAUAAGCGCUGGAAACGGCGUCUAAUACCGGAUACGAGCUGCGAAGGCAUCUUCAGCAGCUGGAAAGAAUUUCGGUCAGGGAUGAGCUCGCGGCCUAUCAGCUAGUUGGUGAGGUAAUGGCUCACCAAGGCGUCGACGGGUAGCCGGCCUGAGAGGGAGACCGGCCACACUGGGACUGAGACACGGCCCAGACUCCUACGGGAGGCAGCAGUGGGGAAUAUUGCACAAUGGGCGCAAGCCUGAUGCAGCAACGCCGCGUGAGGGACGACGGCCUUCGGGUUGUAAACCUCUUUUAGCAGGGAAGAAGCGAAAGUGACGGUACCUGCAGAAAAAGCACCGGCUAACUACGUGCCAGCAGCCGCCGUAAAAC